rnacentral:lncRNA from 1 species
GCGCCGCUGCGGCUGCUGCGCGGUGAGGUCGUGACAAGUCACAGCUAACUUGCCCUCCGCGCCAUUCCACGCCACCAGGAAGCGCAGCCGGUGCCUCUCGGCAUCGGCGAAGAGGCCUUGCCGGACCGGCGCCCAGCCCUCCAGGCUGUCGAGCUGCUCGUCCUCCAUGGCCGUCGGCGGCAGCGGCCCUAGGACUCGGCGGGCGCGGGCCUGACCUCGCCGCACUGCCUGUCAGGGGACAGUCCCAGGCAUAACUGAAGGUGAAAGGACAGAAUCACCAUGUGUUACUGGCACAGAUGCAUCGGCUAGUGAAGAAAGAAGACAUUCAAACUAGUCCCGCUCUGUCGCCCAGUCUGGAGUGCAGCAGCGCCAUCAUAGCUCACUGCCACCUAGAAGCCGGGGUGAAGCAAUCCUCCUCCAUCAGCCUUCAGAGUAGCUGGGACUACCUGCGCGGCCCACCACACCCGGCUAAUCUUUGUGGUUUUUGUUUUGUUUUCCGUUCUGGGUUUCCGUCGGGCGCAGUGGCUCAGGCCUGCAAUCCCAGCACUUUGGAAGGCAGAGGUGGGCGGAUCACCCGAGGUCGGAGACCAGCCUGACCAACAUGAAGAAAUCCCGUCUCUACUAAAAAAAAGAAAAAAACUACAAAAUUAGCCGGAUAUGGUGGCUCAUGCCUGUAAUCCCAGCUACUAGGGAGGCCCAGGCAGGAGAAUCACCUAAAUCCGGGAGGCCGAGGUUGCGGUGGGCAAAGAUCACACCAUUGCACUCCAGCCUGGACAACAAGGGUGAAACUCCAUCUCAAAACAGAGACCGGGUUUCACCAUGUUGCCCAGGCGGUCUGGAACUCCUAGGCUCAAGCGAUCUGCCACACUCGGCCUUCCAAAGUCCUGGGAUCACAAGGGGGAGGCACCACGCCAGGCCGAUCUAUUCCUUUCUGGUUACUAAAUUGGACCGGGGGCGCGGUGGCUCACGCCUGCAAUCCCAGCACCCAGGGAGGCGGAGGCGGGCGUAUCACUCGAGGUCAGGAGCUCGAGAUCAGCCCGACCAACACGGAGAAACCCCGUCUGUACCAAAAAAAUAAAACCAAAAUUAGCUGGCAUGGUGGCUCAUGCCUGCAAUCCCAGACACUCAGGAGGCUGAGGCAGGAGAACCACCUAAACCCGGGAGGUGGAGGCCGCGGUGAGUCGAGACCACGCCACUGCACUCCAGCCUGCAAAACGAGCGAAACUCCACUC